CUGCCGGAGGAGAGCCACACUGACUAAGUAUCGGGUAUAAAUUUAGAGAGCAACUCACAACGUUCCCCCUCGUUCUUUCUUCACUUUGCAUUUUCUAUUUCCAAUCGUCAAAUUGUGCGAAAACGAAGCGAAAUUAAGUGCUGUGAUUAUUAUUAUUAUCAGAACCUGUGCCAGGAGAACAGCCAAUAUCGCGCAAGUACAUGAAUUAUUAAUUACUUUGUGCACAAUGCACAAUAGCUAAAGAAAUGUUGAUUACAUUUAAAAAAGAAUUUUAUUAUUUAGAAAAAAAAAUUUGAUGUGUUAUCAGAAACAUUGGCGGAGGCGGUGGCUCUUCUCAAGCUACCAUGAAGUUCCAAAUGCCAUGAAGUUCCCGAUAGAGUCGACGAUGGAGUUGGAGCAUUUCAACUCUAUCAUAACUCCAGAGCUCACCGAUUUCUAUAUAAACAAAUUACGGAAAUUAAUGGGGACGAGCCGAUCAAUGGUAUGCAGUUUGAAAAAUGUGCUGGAUGAGAAGCUCAUUUUAGAAUACAACUAAAAUGGUGCUUCGGCGAAGAGCUCGCUAAAAAAUUUUUAAGAGUUUUUGCAAUGUCCUGGAAUCGGCGGUGAAGAUGAAAAUACCCAACGAGCGAGCAGAAAAAGUGAUUCGGAAGGCUAUUCACAACAUUAAGAAAAGUAAUUUUCAGAAGAGCUCACGAGCCUAAAAAUACAAAGCUCUGGCCUCCUAAGAAAAUAAUUAAUAAUAGUUUUUCAUAAAUAAAGCUAACUGGAAAAAUAAAUGCAUGAUUUUUCGACAAAAAUCAUCGUUUAUUAAGUGCAUGAUUCGUCGGGAAAAAUCAUCACUUAUAAAAUGCUUGAAUUUCGGCAAAAAUCAUAGCUUAUUAAGUGCAUGAUUUUUUGGCUCCUAUCGCCCUCCUAUCUCUUUCUAACACACACGUAUCAUAGCCGGCUUUGCUUAGCGCAAAACAUUAGCACCUACAUAGAUCUCAGAGACUAAAAGAGCUAGAGCAAACAAAUUUGCUAUCCACAAUACUAUGAUUUCGAUACUGCACAAGUAUAUCUCAAAACAUCGCCCCACCCUCUUCCGCCCCCGCAAAGGACGAAAAUCGGUGGUAUCCACAGAUCUCAGAGACUAUAAGUCCGAACUGUAGAGCUCUCACUGUUACAAAACUAUUUAUAAUAUUUCACUGUUACAAGUUUAUUUCUUUUUGC